ACACCGGCAGCUCAAGUGGUGGCCGCUUUUAUUGGGCCUAAAGCGUCCGUAGCCGGUCUGAUAAGUCUCUGGUGAAAUCCCACAGCUUAACUGUGGGAAUUGCUGGAGAUACUAUCAUGACUCGAGGUCGGGGGAGGCUGGAGGUACUCCCAGGGUAGGGGUGAAAUCCUGUAAUCCUGGGAGGACCACCUGUGGCGAAGGCGUCCAGCUGGAACGAACCUGACGGUGAGGGACGAAAGCCAGGGGCGCGAACCGGAUUAGAUACCCGGGUAGUCCUGGCCGUAAACGAUGUGGACUUGGUGUUGGGAUGGCUUCGAGCUGCCCCAGUGCCGAAGGGAAGCUGUUAAGUCCACCGCCUGGGAAGUACGGCCGCAAGGCUGAAACUUAAAGGAAUCGGCGGGG
rnacentral:rRNA from 1 species